CCAUUUUGCAGACAGGGAAGGUGUGUGUUUCUUUGUUAGUUUGUGCGCAGUGUCUGUAAAACUGCAUAACAGUCGACGUGGUUGGAUACGGUCGUAAUUUUCAGGUUAAAGUUAAUUCAUAGUUGAAGAACCUCGAAUGUUAUUUUUUUAAACGUUUGUUUUGACUUUCAAGUCGAUAUUUUCCGUCAGUUUGUGUUUUAUUAUAAGUGGUAAACAUGAGUUACGGUAGGCCGCCGCCCGAUGUUGAGGGCAUGACUUCCCUCAAGGUGGAUAACCUGACGUACCGGACCUCGCCGGAGACCCUGCGGCGGGUUUUUGAGAAGUACGGGCGGGUCGGGGAUGUGUAUAUUCCCCGAGACCGCUACACUAAGGAGAGCCGCGGGUUUGCCUUUGUGCGGUUUCACGACAAGCGUGAUGCGGAGGACGCGAUGGACGCCAUGGAUGGCGCGGUGCUGGAUGGGCGGGAGCUGCGCGUGCAGAUGGCACGCUAUGGACGGCCGCCCGAGUCACAUCACGGGCGCCGAGGAGGCCCGCCACGAAGGUAUGGGAGCUCCGGGAGGAGAAGCAGGAGCCCUCGACGACGCAGGCGCAGUCGCUCCCGAAGCAGGAGUCGUUCUAGGUCCCGUAGCCGCUCGCGGUACAGCAGAUCAAGGUCCCGUUCCUACUCCCGCUCCAGGUCUCGGUCCAAAACUCGUUCCCCACGCAGAAUCAAGUCCAAAUCCAAGUCGAAGUCUUUGUCCAGGUCUAAGUCCAAGUCACGCUCCAGAUCUAAGUCCAAGUCUAAGUCCCGCUCCAGGUCCCGAAGCCGCACACCAGCCUCUGCCAGAAACUCCAAGUCCAGGUCGAGGUCCAAGAGCCUACCCAAGUCUCCAGAGGAGGAGGGAGCAGUGUCUUCAUAACUCAAUGCUGCUGUUUCCUGUUUGCAAAAAAGGAGAUUGGUGCAGUUUGUGCAGAGUUAGAGAUUGUGUGAUCCGCCCUGGGGCCGCCUCCUGCUGUUGGGGUAUGCUUUGGAGCAGACUUCUCGGAUGAACAACCAAACCCAGUGAAGGCAUCACUUUGAAAGUAAGAUCUCUCUGAAAGUGAAGGAGAGAUCCCCAAAACAAACUGGCUGAUUACAAAAAAAAGGUUAAUAUUGUAACAAUUUAUGGCCUAUAAAGAUUUAAGUGUUUUUUUUUUUGUUUUUUUUUGUGUUCUGCAUAGAAAAUGAGGUUAAUUUUGUAUGUGCCAUCUUGUUCCAAUUUCUUAACUAUUAAAUAGGAAGGACUACAGAUACAUUUUGGGCUUGUAUAAGUGAGGUAAAGCAAAAAUGUUUGAGCUGUUUAUUUUUUCUGUUAAGUGCUUUAAUCUAGUGCUGGGGUUUCCUUAAUUUAGUAAUUUGUUAAAGGUUUUAAAAUGUCCAUAAUGGAACAUUUGCUAUUGCUAACUAGUUGAGAUCACAGUUGCUUUGAGAUUUUAGUCGACUAAAAUUGCAUUCUGGCUUUGCUACACCAAGUAAGGUUUUAAAAUUCUUUAGUGGUAACCAUCAACCAGUUGCCUGUUAGUCUAACAACAGAUUAAAGUGUUGGUUUUAGGUUUAUUUUUUAAUUCUGAAGUUUUGGUUAAUACAUAGACAUCAUAUUAGACAUUUCAUUAAAAUUAAAAUAAUUGGUAUAAAUUCUGAAAUACUAGGUGUGUGUGUGGUGACCUAAAGUAGUUGCAUUUGAAACCCAGCACUGACUUCAUUUAUUUGAUUUUAUUUAAUGUUUCAUCUGAUUUGCAAUUCUAAUCUUUUCUCUUGUGUAUUUUUUGUGCACUAGGCGCAGUUGUGUAGCAGUUGUAUUGCUGGUUAGCUGUUAAGGUGGCGUGUUGCAGAGUGCUUGGCUGUUUCCAGUUUUCUCCUGAUUGCUCCUGUGUAACGAUGCCUUGGCGUGCCAGUGUUUUUUAUUUUUAUUUUAAAAUCUGGUCUGCUGCACUUUCUGAAACCAGGGUCACGUGAAUUGCUUUUUAUUUUUUGUAAAAUUUAAAAUUGGAGCAUACAGUGAGCACAUCUAGCCAUUUAUUACACACCUUAUGGUAAUGGUAACAUGGAGUACAUUUAACUAAUUGCAUUUAAGACUGCUCUUGGUACAAUCUUUUUGUAAUUUGUAUGUUCUGCUAAAAUUUCUGUACUUGUAACUACUGUUCUGUGAAUGCUAAUAAAAUAUUCUUUUGGUGUA